UUGGAGGGCAAGUCUGGUGCCAGCAGCCGCGGUAAUUCCAGCUCCAAUAGCGUAUAUUAAAGUUGCUGCAGUUAAAAAGCUCGUAGUUGAAUUUCGGGACCAUCAUGUCGGUCGUGCCUCGGUACGUACUGGUAUUGUUGGUUUCUCCCUUCUGACGAACCAUGAUGUCAUUUAUUUGGUGUUGUGGGGAAUCAGGACUGUUACUUUGAAAAAAUUAGAGUGUUUAAAGCAGGCUCACGCUUGAAUACAUUAGCAUGGAAUAAUGAAAUAGGACGUUUGAUUCUAUUUUGUUGGUUUCUAGGAUCGACGUAAUGAUUAAUAGGGAUAGUUGGGGGCAUUAGUAUUCAAUUGUCAGAGGUGAAAUUCUUGGAUUUAUUGAAGACUAACUACUGCGAAAGCAUUUGCCAAGGAUGUUUUCAUUAAUCAAGAACGAAAGUUAGGGGAUCGAAGACGAUCAGAUACCGUCGUAGUCUUAACCAUAAACUAUGCCGACUAGGGAUCGGACGAUGUUAAUUUUUUAAUGACUCGUUCGGCGCCUUACGGGAAAC
rnacentral:rRNA from 2 species